AGUUCAAAGAGGUACCGACACUCGGUGUAACGGCCAACCCGCCAUCCACAGUGGAUCUUCUGUGUCCAAUAUAUGCACCAACCUCCAUAUCUGGACUCCUCAAGAAGCUGCCAGCCAGCAGAGGCCUGACUGGAGAUGUACCAGAGCAGCCGUCUAUAAGAAGGGAGAGGGCAGACUGGAGUCACUGAGGAAGCUAAGAUCAUUCAGUCUUCUCAGGGAACAAGUGUGUCACUCUGAGACCAAGGCAUCGCACUAUGGGAAAUCUUGGAUCCCUCUCAAAUCAUCCGUUGCAGAGACGGGGAGACAGAGGCUUCCACAAAAUGUGUGCUGAUAAUCAGACAUGGGGCCACCACAGUGGGGCACUUGAAGAGCGUACGAUGCAAGAUGGAGACCUUGAAGAGGAGUAAAUAGCUACUGAAGUAUUGCCUCCUUGUGUGGUGCUGUAGCUCAGGUGCUGGCUGCAGUUAGCGAUGCACUAAACAAAGGGUGAAAUGAGUGUGUGUGUGUGUGUGGCGUCGAGCUGCCAUGAAAGGCAGAUGGAUUUAUUUCUUUGUUUACCCUGGCUCUCUGCCAGAAUAGUCCUGACUGUAAUUUCAUUACCAGUCCUUAGUACAUCUGUUUAUUUAGUGACAUCGGGACUGGAGUUUACUCAGUGUGCAAGUGUUAGACGCUGGCUCUAACUGUGAUUUUUAAUAAGAUGCACACUCAGUUCCUGUUCUAAUUAGCAUCACGCAGAAGCCCAACCACUGCACAUUUGAGCUGACACUGCCUAUAUAAUUUAAGAUUACAGGUUUUAAUAAAACAGCCUCUUCAUGCUUCGUUUAAACUGAUCACCAGCUGCUGGGUCAAUUGAAUAUUUGGGAAUUUAAUUAAGCUUCAGUUUGGAUCACAAUCUUUCUACAAAGUCGGGGGCUUGUAGUUUAAGCAUCAGUAGGAGAUAUCAAAGAAGGGAAAGGAUGAUGUUCCAAGCAUGAAUUUUGAGAUGUAAGCUCUAUAAUGCACUGGAAUGGAAAGGUCUGGAGUGGCUUAUCUAUUUGAUCUCUGAAUCCUUUUGUUCGACUCCACAGAGUUGGACUGCUAUUAUCCUGCUUGUCCGUAUUAUGCUGCAGAUUCCAGCGCAACCCUCUAAGGUAUGCAGCAUUUCGGCAUGGCUUUUCCCCCUGGACUGCUCUCCUCAUUAUUGCCAGCAUGUAAUACAAUAGUUACUAUUGACUUCUUGGGAUGCUGUCGUCAUACUGAAUUGACUGUGUUGCUUUGGUCUUAAAGUAGGUUAAUUUCACUCAGUGGUACACGAGUAAAUAUUGUAUGAAGCUCCUGAGCCGUGAAAUAUGAGAAUGUUGCUGCCCUCUGUAUGCAUCUCCAUAUGUUAACUCAUGUUUAUUGUGUGUACAGUAGAGCCCGUCCAUCGGGUCGGGAUGCUUGACAUUGUGUAAUGGAAGAAAGUGCCAGAUGUUCAACCAGUGAAGUAGUCCACACAAUGUCAGAUUAUUCAUGAAUCGUUCUGUUUUCUGCUACAUUGAAAUCAAAACACAGUGGCAUAAAAGAAUAUCCUACAGAAAUGUUUCACUCCAGGAAACAGGCUUCUAAGGCCUCAUCCACACAUAGCUGGAUAUCUAUGAAACUGGAAAGUUUUUUAUUGCGAUUUGGUCUUUCAUCCACACGUAAACUCCAUCUAAUAUCACUAAAAACAAUUAAUAAAAACCUCAAGCAAAGUGUAGGUUUGAGAAUUUUCCCUAUUGGCGUUUGUACAUAGGAAAGAGGCUCCUGUGCACAUUACAGUCUGUGACAAAUAAUGUGUCACAUGUGACUUUUGCUAUUGUUUGGCCGUGCAGUGGAGGAAAAACGACAGGUGAUGAUUUUUACGUUGGUUCAGAUGCUUUUUGCCUGAUUUACCAGCCAAACUGUUGCAAUACAUUGAAUUGCAAAGAAGAAACAAUGCUUGGAGGUCAGCUGUUUUACACCAACUACUCCUACCAAUAUGGAGGCAUAAUGCCGUUUCCACGUCCACACAUGGCACGAUUCCCAAAUGACAUCGUCUCGUGUUUUAUUAAUUUUAUAUUCUAACAUGGCAUUUAAAAGUAGUUUAACCUAUUUGUCUGUCCACACAAAUGAAUCUCCUGUCACCAGAUUCCUAACAGGAAGUAGUGGUUAUUUUUGAUGGAUUUUGAUUGGCGGACAUAAGGUUUAGCUUUGCUCUACACUGUCCUCUAUG